UACGUAGGGUGCAAGCGUUGUUCGGAAUUACUGGGCGUAAAGGGCGCGUAGGCGGGCCCGUAUGUCGAUUGUGAAAGCCCUGGGCUCAACCUGGGAAUUGCAGUCGAAACUGCGGGUCUUGAGUGCCUGAGAGGAUGGCGGAAUUCCCGGUGUAGAAGUGAAAUUCGUAGAUAUCGGGAAGAACACCUGAGGCGAAGGCGGCUAUCUGGCGGUGCACUGACGCUGAUGCGCGAAAGCGUGGGGAGCAAGCAGG
rnacentral:rRNA from 1 species